AGCAUUGGGUAAAGUUCUAAAAAUAAAACUUUUAUAAAAACACUUCAUUCUAAGUUUCAGCCCAUUCCUCCACCCUCCAGACAAACACACCUCUCNUUCUUCUUCUUCCCUUCAUUCCUCUACCUUCCAUCAACCAUAACUCAGAAUCUAACUGUUUGUUUCUCAAAUUGAAGCUACCUAAGCAUUCACGACUCCAAGAGCUACGUUUCUACCGAUUNAUUUUCCGUUUCCUCCAACGGGUAAGAAAACCCCUUUCUCUAUUUUUCCCUAGGGUUGUAAGCACGUGAUUUCUUACAACAAGNUGUCCAUUUCGUUCUAUUCCAUAAUCUAGCUUCUAAUUGGUUCUAAAAUUCGUUCUCCAUCAUCAAUUGAUGAUUUAUAGGUGAUUCUAACAUUUUGGGAGUGUAAGAAAGUGGUCUAGAGUUCUUACUUGAGCUUGGUUGUCUACACUAGAGGUAAGGGGAGCUAGUUCUACUUUUCAUUUUAGUUGUAUGAUGUGAAUGCAUGAUAAUUUUGAAAUGGUAUGUUGUUGAAGGCAUGAAAUUGGUUCUAUUGACUUGAAAUGCAUGUAUAUGGAAGUGGGUGUGUUAUGUGAAUUUGGUGAUUGAUGGCUAUGAACUGUUUGGAAUGAUUUUGAAUGAUGAAUUAUUUAUGUUGGGACUACUUUGGUGUGAAAAAUCUGUUGUGGUAUUGUUAGGAAGAAAAAUCAAGUGUCUUAGUGUCAAUUUUAGGUCAUUUAGAGGAAGUGAGGUAGUGAUUUUGAGCAAAUGAGGUCUGUCACGUUUUUGGACUGUUGAGGCAGCUUAGGCAAGUUAAUUAUAACUUAUUAGAACUAUAAAAUUGGUUAAAAUGAGGUUCUAAAUGGUAGAAGUGGANUUGAGUCCUUAGGUUNAGGAAAACUAGUGUUUUGAGUGAAUUUAGAGGAAGUUGGAGGGUGUUUUUGAGUAAUUGAGGUCUAGGGUGUAAGUGGGCAGUGGGGACAGUUUGAUUAAGUCAAUUAUGACUUNUUAGAAGUUUUAAAAGUGGUAAAAACAUUGCUUAANUGGUAGAAUUAGAAUUGGGCACAUGUGUUGAUGAAAUUGAGUAAUUUGAAUGUAGAUUGAUGUGAAAUCACUAGAGAAUUGGUUUAGNAAGUNUUAAAGUUGGUUAGGCAAGUUAGAUUCAUCAUAUAGAUCAAGUUAGGAGUGCNAGAAAUCCACCAAAAGGCCUAAAAUGAAACNUAAGGGUGUGAGUUUGAAAAAUCUGCAGAAAAAUCUNCAGAAUUNACGCUCGGGCGCCCCUGAAGGGCGCUGGGGNGCCAUUUUCUGCUGUCGUGUUUGUUUUUGAUAGUUUGNGNGGUUCCGGACGUCCGNUUUGGACGUUCUUUAGGUCGUUCUGGGGGUUUUUGACCCUUCCNNNGCCAUUGGUGAGGUUCUCAAGGCUGUUUGAAUUACUUAAGUAUUGAUAAUUAAAGGUCCUAAAGANAUUUGUGUUAAUAAGUGUUGGUUUUGUGAAAGUAUGUAAUGUAUGAGUUGUUUUUAUGACAUGGUUGAUGUUGUACGAUGGUGUAUGGGUUUGGUAUGAGACAAUAUAGUAAGAAUGCACUUGAAUGACUAUGAAAUUUUACGUUUGAUGAAUCAAAGUGGUUUAUGAGGUACAUUAUUGAUUCAAGAGGAAUAUCAUAUGAUUUAAAGUGNUCGGAUUGAAUACGAAAUUAAGAUCUCUCGGUGAGAUCAAUUAGUGUAUUGAAUGUAUGUAAGAGGCUUCCACUAUGAGGGGUUAUCCCUAACACUCUAACNGUCUUUCAUUCUCACUUAGAGAGGAUUGACGCGUGUGGUGAGAGUAGUGGGAGGUCCUAGGGUAGGUGCUAUCANUGGAGGUCUAUUCCNNGGUAACGGACCAGCCUUGUGUGUGGUCGGGUGAAACCCCUCGGCAAUGGCUUUGCAAAGCAGUAGAGGCCACCACAAGUGCACAACCCGCCCCANCUCUAUAUACAUUNUAUGUCCGGACGUGUCUAAAAGUCUUAACCUGAUAUGNUGUUGGUUUCAAUGAGUUUUGUGAAAUAAAAUGUUUGUGUUAUGAUGACUUACAUGUUUAAGUGUGUAUGANCGUUCUUGCAAUGAAUUGUAUGAUUGUUUGAGACCUAGCUCACCCUUGCAUUGUAUGUGUUGCAUGUGCUUACCUUCCCCCUUGCGAUGAUCAUCCAAUCCUUUGGAUGUGAGCAGUAGGUGAUGAUGUACCAUUGGAGCAAGCGUUGGAGAUUGAAGAAGACCCAACCCUAAUACUUAGGACGUUUAUUAGUUCCUAUUUCAAUAGUUUGUUAUUUUUGGAAACACNCUCUAGGCAUCCNUGGAUCUUUAGUUUAUUAUGUAUUUUGGAGAACAUUGGGGAACUUGUACUCAAGUUUUAAUUUCCUUCUAAUUUCCACUAAAUUUUUGGAUGACUGUAUAAAUAUUUAAAUACUGUCAUCUUUAUCUCUUAACU
rnacentral:lncRNA from 1 species